AGCACUAUAGUUUUUGUAUAUUUUUUUUCUGUUUGGUAAAUUUCAAAUAUAAUAUUCUGCUUUUUUUAGAAUGGUGGCAGUUUUUUGGAAUGGAAGAAUUUCAUACAGAAAAAAAAAUGGUACUCUCAAAGGUUCCAAAACUCAAGGAGCAUAGGCAUUUUGGAAAGGAAUACAGGCUUGACAGCUGUGGGGUAAGCAUCUACAAGAAGGUAAGAUUAGAUCAAUACAAGCAUGGCCUCUUGCUAACUUGGAUCUUAAAGUAAGAGGAGGGUGGAACUCCAGGAAGGGAAGGAAAGUCUAGGAGGUGCCUGAAAGCAACUGUAACUCACUGACAGAAUGAGGUGAGGUCGUCCUACAACACUGCAGUCAGAGAAAAGCAGAGACUUUUUAUUCAUUGAGUGCAUGGAAACAUCUGAGGCAAAGGAAAAGCUGUUUCAAAUGGGCAUUAGCAUGCCUGUUGGCACUCUCAGGCUGAUAUCAAGGGCGCCCUUGAGCUCAGAGCCAAGUGGAGGUAUACCCCUGGAGAACCCAAGGUGACAAAGUGCAGGUGGAAAUGCUGUUCAAAUGUAUAUUUAAUGGACAUGGGGAUAAGCUGUGUUUCAGUUAGUGAAAGUAAAAAAAAAAACCACAAAAAAAACCCCUAACAAUAUCUCAUGGUCGAUAGCACUAACGGGAAGCAGAACUUUGUAGCCAAUAGAAUUGCUCAAAACCCAACAAAUUCAACUGUAGAAAUGAAAGAAUGAGGAGGAAUUCUUUACCCACUGCCUAGUGUGUCAUGUAUGUUAUCCUUUGUGCCUGAAACAUGGGGGAGGUAAGGCCAUUAAAAUCUUCACCUGCAGCAUACAUCUCAAGUUGUGUGGGUUUUUAAAUUAUUUUUUAAUCUUUCUGUCUGUCUGUCUAUCUUAUUUUCCUCUCUAGGUCUUUAUUGUGAUUUUUGUUGUGUCUAAAUGAGAGUUAUCCAAAUAAGUGCUGAAGUAAGAAUUACUCUUUUGCCGUUUUUUGGCUAUAAUCACCUUUUUAUCAGUAACUGAAUGCUACAGGGAAAGUACUUCUAACUUUCAUUGCCAUCAAGUACAUUUUAAAUACUAACCGUAGUUGCUUUAGCAAUACGUAUUUGGUUAUUAUGAAGAGCCCUUCAUGCAAUUGCAGAAAUUUACAAGUAUGAUAAGCCAGUUCUUGCUUCCACGUAGGAGUUGAGAAUUUUGAGUUCAUGGUUUGCUCUUUCCCAUUCCCAUCCAGCCAUCAUGUAAAGUCUUCCCACUC
rnacentral:lncRNA from 1 species